rnacentral:lncRNA from 1 species
GAACAUUUGUACUUUUAGAAUAAAUUCCUUUUUAAAAAGAAGUCAUUGCCAUUCUUAUAUAAGUUCCAAUAUACCACAGUGUCAGAGCGACGGCACAGCACGCAGACGGCUCCGCCCGUGAGAAACAGAAAGAGUACGGCAAAAGUAUCAAGCAAAAGGCGCAUGUCCUGAGCCGAGACGCCGCAUUGUACCGUUGUGCAGGUUUUCAUAGCCUCUUCACUGCUU